rnacentral:rRNA from 1 species
GCUUGUCUCAAAGAUUAAGCCAUGCAUGUCUAAGUAUAAACAAUUCUAUACUGUGAAACUGCGAAUGGCUCAUUAAAUCAGUUAUAGUUUAUUUGAUAAUAUCUACUACUUGGAUAACCGUGGUAAUUCUAGAGCUAAUACAUGCGUAAAAACCCGACUUCGGAAGGGUUGUAUUUAUUAGAUGGAAACCAAUGCGGGGCAACCCGGAUUCUGGUGAUUCAUAAUAACUUUCGGAUCGAUCCUCGGAUCGAUGCAUCAUUCAAGUUUCUGCCCUAUCAGCUUUGGAUGGUAGGGUAUUGGCCUACCAUGGCUUUAACGGGUAACGGAGAAUUAGGGUUCGAUUCCGGAGAGGGAGCCUGAGAAAUGGCUACCACAUCCAAGGAAGGCAGCAGG